rnacentral:rRNA from 1 species
AUACGGAGGGUGCGAGCGUUAAUCGGAAUUACUGGGCGUAAAGGGUGCGUAGGCGGCUUGAUAAGUCGGAUGUGAAAGCCCCGGGCUUAACCUGGGAAUUGCAUUCGAUACUGUCAGGCUAGAGUAUGUCAGAGGUUGGCGGAAUUCCUGGUGUAGCGGUGAAAUGCGUAGAUAUCAGGAGGAACACCAGUGGCGAAGGCGGCUAACUGGGGCAAUUCUGCCGCUGAGGCACGAAAGCGUGGGGAGCAAACAGGAUUAGAUACCCUAGUAGUCC